UACGUAGGUGGCAAGCGAUACUCGGAAUCACUAGGCGUAAAGCGCAGGUAGGCGGUUCGGUAAGUCUUUUGUGAAAGCUCCCGGCUCAACUGGGAGAGGUCAAGGGAAACUGCCGGGCUUGAGAUUGGUAGGGGAGACUGGAAUUCCUGGUGUAGCGGUGAAAUGCGUAGAUAUCAGGAGGAACACCGAUGGCGAAGGCAGAUCUCUGGGCCGUAACUGACGCUGAGGAGCGAAAGCGUGGGGAGCGAACAGG
rnacentral:rRNA from 1 species